CCUACGGGAGGCUGCAGUGGGGAAUAUUGCACAAUGGGGGAAACCCUGAUGCAGCACCGCCGCGUGAGCGAUGAAGGCCUUCGGGUCGUAAAGCUCUGUCCUAAGGGAAGAAUACUGACGGUACCUUAGGAGGAAGCCCCAGCUAACUACGUGCCAACAGCCGCGGUAAUACGUAGGGGGGUAGCGUUAUCCGGAAUUACUGGGCGUAAAGGGUGCGUAGGCGGCCCUUCAAGUCAGAGGUGAAGGGCUAAGGCUCAACCGUAGUAAGCCUUUGAAACUGUAGGGCUUGAGUGCAGGAGGGGAGAGUUCAAUUCCCAGUGUGGCGGUGAAAUGCGUAGAUAUUGGGGGGAAAAUCAGUGGGGAAGGCGGCACUGGGGACUGUAACUUACGGUGAGGCACGAUAGCGGGGGGAGCGAACAGGAUGAGCUACCCGAGUAGUG
rnacentral:rRNA from 1 species